ACCAUUUAAAUCUUAGCCUGAAACUCAUUUGGAAGAUGAACUUUUCCUCACCUGACAUGCCAACCAAGGUCACCCAGUUACAGGUGUCAAAGGAACCUCGUAAAAUUCAGGCCACUUGGAAGAACUCAUUCAGGGGCUCUUUUCACCUCCACACUGGACCCCCAUGGGAGAGGGAACUGCAUCUGACUGGCAUCCUGCUGCAUCCCUGCACAACGGGGAAUCAGAAGCAAGCACAGUUGAUACGCAGAUGGCAUUCAAGGUGUAGCCCAAAAUCUGCCUCCUCCAAGAAGUCUUCCCUGAACUCUCCCUACAGCAUUAAGCAGUCUGUCUUUGCUCAGCCGUGCCAUGCCAUCAGUCUCCAUAACUGUCACCCACUCGCCUGGAGUGGCAUCUGUAUACAACUUCUCUUCUCUGCCAGGUUGUAAACUGUUACAUCUUUACUUUGUCUCUUUACUUAUUGACUUAUUGAGGACUUAUUAUGUGCCAGGGACUGUGCUAGGUGCUAAGGUCAAAACAAUAGAUGACACACGUGCCUAUCCUCAGAGUCUGGUGGAGAGAGAGAAAGAUAUGGGUAAGAAAUGACAACAUAGAGGAAAGUGCUACCACAGUGACAUGAACAGAGUAGUUUAAAGACAGAGAAGACAAGGAACAACUAACCACGGGGAAGACUUGGAAGUCUUCAUGGAAAAGAGGAUUAUUUGAAUAGUUUGUAGUAUCUCAUCCAAACAUUCACCACAUUUUUUUUUGUAUAUCAACCAGUAAUAAUCACAAAAUAACACCAACACAUUACUUCUAUAUAUAUUAUUCCAUUUGAUUUUAGUAUAUGUAUGCCGAAGCGAGCACUUAUUAUUCCAUUUGAUCCACACAACGAGCUCAGGAAGAUGGGUGUUAACAUUGUUCUAUUUUUAAGAAGGGAAAAAUUGAGCUUUCUAAAGUUUGGCCCUCUCAGGUCACUAAGUGAGUAAAUGGAUCUAAGUGAAAGUCUUUGAAUUCAAAAGCAUAUGAAUUUUCCACUCUUAGCUUAGCUUCUUGGGGAUUGGCCAUUCAUGCCAAUGGUUUAUCUGGCUUUGAUUUGUCAUCUCUCUGAAAUGCUGCCUUCUACCUCUACCCCUAACCUCCAUACAGUACAGUUUCAGAGGAGAGAUGCCUUAUAUUCCCCCAAUGACUGACCUAAGUUCCCACAACAUCAGAGCACUAGAGCCUACUUAUCUGAGAGAGAGAAUCAGACAAUGUAUUUUAAAAACUAAUGACUCCACCAUUAAACUGUUAGGGAUUUAAAUUUCCUGCUAUAAUUCUCCCAAAGUGUAUCCUAUUAGAACAAUGAAGAUAUGACUAGAAGUAGUGUUAAAUAGGCAAGAACCAAAAAUACAUAUGAAUCAAAAAUGGAUGGAUCCAAAGGAAGCCAAAUACAUUCCAAGGGCAGCAUAUUUACCUACUUUCAAAAAGCAAAUAAAAGUCAGCUACAAUUUAGAACA
rnacentral:lncRNA from 1 species